GUGGAUUAGAUACCCUGGUAGUCCACGCCGUAAACGAUGGAUACUAGCUGUUGGGCGCAAGUUCAGUGGCUAAGCGAAAGUGAUAAGUAUCCCACCUGGGGAGUACGUUCGCAAGAAUGAAACUCAAAGGAAUUGACGGGGGCCCGCACAAGCGGUGGAGCAUGUGGUUUAAUUCGAUGAUACGCGAGGAACCUUACCAAGGCUUAAAUGUAGAUUGACAGGACUGGAAACAGUUUUUUCUUCGGACAAUUUACAAGGUGCUGCACGGCCGUCGCCAACU
rnacentral:rRNA from 1 species